rnacentral:misc_RNA from 1 species
CCCUGGUCUGAUCACCGAUGCGCUCAAACUCCUCAAUGACAAGUGCAAUACCAACAGUCCCAUGAUCAAGAUCGUCAACACUUGCUCCUACCCGGUCUACUUGUGGUCCAUUAGCAAGAACGAUGUGUGCGGCUCCGGGGGUACCAAGCUCGAGACUGGUGCAUACUACCAGGAGAACUACCGACCUGCUGUUGGCAAGACUGCCGUCUCCAUCAAGCUCUCCAAGUCCCAGGUUUGCGAUUGCACAAAGACCGACAUCACCCAAGUCGAGUACAUGAUCGAGACCUCUGGUUCGAAGCGUGACGGCGUUCUCGGCAACUUCCAUGAUGUCUCUUUCGUCGAC